AUUGAACGCUGGCGGCAGGCUUAACACAUGCAAGUCGAACGAGCGGCGGACGGGUGAUUAAUGUCUGGGAAACUGCCUGUAGGAGGGGGAUAACUACUGGAAACCGUAGCUAAUACCGCAUACCAUGAGAUGUGCAGCUUGGGGAUUAGCUAGUUGGUGGGGUAAUAGCUCACCUAGGCGACGAUCCCUAGCUGGUCUGAGAGGAGGACCGGCCACACUGGAACUGAGACACGGUCCAGACUCCUACGGGAGGCAGCAGUGGGGAAUAUUGCACAAUGGGCGCAAGCCUGAUGCAGCAAUGCCGCGUGUGUGAAGAAGGCCUUCGGUUUGUAAAGCACUUUCAGCGAGGAGGCGUUACUCGCAGAAGAAGCACCGGCUAACUCCGUGCCAGCAGCCGCGGUAAUUC
rnacentral:rRNA from 1 species